rnacentral:rRNA from 1 species
AAGAAAUUUAAUAAUUUUGAAAAUGGAUUUUUUUUUGUUUUGGCAAGAGCAUGAGAGCUUUUACUGGGCAAGAAGACAAGAGAUGGAGAGUCCAGCCGGGCCUGCGCUUAAGUGCGCGGUCUUGCUAGGCCUUGUAAGUUUCUUUCUUGCUAUUCCAAACGGUGAGAGAUUUCUGUGCUUUUGUUAUAGGACAAUUAAAACCGUUUCAAUACAACACACUGUGGAGUUUUCAUAUCUUUGCAACUUUUUCUUUGGGCAUUCGAGCAAUCGGGGCCCAGAGGUAACAAACACAAACAAUUUUAUCUAUUCAUUAAAUUUUUGUCAAAAACAAGAAUUUUCGUAACUGGAAAUUUUAAAAUAUUAA